AUACGGAGGGAGCAAGCGUUAUUCGGAAUCACUGGGCGUAAAGGACGCGUAGGCGGGUUUGUAAGUCAGGUGUGAAAUCCUACAGCUCAACUGUAGAACUGCACUUGAAACUACAGACCUAGAGUAUGGAAGGGGCAGAUGGAAUUAGUGGUGUAGGGGUGAAAUCCGUAGAUAUCACUAGGAAUACCGAAAGCGAAGGCGAUCUGCUGGGACAUUACUGACGCUGAGGCGUGAAAGCGUGGGGAGCAAACAGGAUUAGAAACCCUAGUAGUCC
rnacentral:rRNA from 1 species